rnacentral:rRNA from 1 species
UACGGGGGGGGCAAGCGUUGUUCGGAAUUACUGGGCGUAAAGGGGACGUAGGCGGCCAACUAAGUCCGACGUGAAAUCCCAAGGCUUAACCUUGGAGCUGCGUCGGAUACUGGAUGGCUUGAAUUCGGGAGAGGGAUGCAGAAUUCCAGGUGUAGCGGUGAAAUGCGUAGAUAUCUGGAGGAAUACCGGUGGCGAAGGCGGCAUCCUGGACCGACAUUGACGCUGAAAGCCGAAAGCUAGGGGAGCAAACGGG